CAUGCAAGUCGAGGGGCAGCAUGAACUUAGCUUGCUAAGUUUGAUGGCGACCGGCGCACGGGUGAGUAACACGUAUCCAACCUGCCGAUGACUCGGGGAUAGCCUUUCGAAAGAAAGAUUAAUACCCGAUGGCAUAGUUCUUCCGCAUGGUAGAACUAUUAAAGAAUUUCGGUCAUCGAUGGGGAUGCGUUCCAUUAGGUUGUUGGCGGGGUAACGGCCCACCAAGCCUUCGAUGGAUAGGGGUUCUGAGAGGAAGGUCCCCCACAUUGGAACUGAGACACGGUCCAAACUCCUACGGGAGGCAGCAGUGAGGAAUAUUGGUCAAUGGACGAGAGUCUGAACCAGCCAAGUAGCGUGAAGGAUGACUGCCCUAUGGGUUGUAAACUUCUUUUAUACGGGAAUAAAGUGAGGCACGUGUGCCUUUUUGUAUGUACCGUAUGAAUAAGGAUCGGCUAACUCCGUGCCAGCAGCCGCGGUAAUACGGAGGAUCCGAGCGUUAUCCGGAUUUAUUGGGUUUAAAGGGAGCGUAGGCGGACGCUUAAGUCAGUUGUGAAAGUUUGCGGCUCAACCGUAAAAUUGCAGUUGAUACUGGGUGUCUUGAGUACAGUAGAGGCAGGCGGAAUUCGUGGUGUAGCGGUGAAAUGCUUAGAUAUCACGAAGAACUCCGAUUGCGAAGGCAGCCUGCUGGACUGUAACUGACGCUGAUGCUCGAAAGUGUGGGUAUCAAACAGGAUUAGAUACCCUGGUAGUCCACACAGUAAACGAUGAAUACUCGCUGUUUGCGAUAUACAGUAAGCGGCCAAGCGAAAGCGUUAAGUAUUCCACCUGGGGAGUACGCCGGCAACGGUGAAACUCAAAGGAAUUGACGGGGGCCCGCACAAGCG
rnacentral:rRNA from 1 species